UUCUCCAGGAAUUUUCUUCUAUGUUCUCUCCAACUUCGAUAUCCAGACUUCCGGCUUCCGGUUACGAUGGUUUCCUUGGUUCCAUUUCCAUGUCCGAACCGAAUAUGAAGAGUCAUGUAUUUUCGGGGGUUCUCUCUUGUAUACAGAAGGCGGAGUCUUGAGAGACAUUGGGUGUAUUUUGGGGCUUAGGGUUUUCUGUGAGAGCACAACUCUAUUUCUUUUCCAUUGCCUACUACAUAGUGGAUUUCUAUUCCUCCUUCACCCGUUGACGUAGGCUAUAAGCCGGACCAGUCGUUGAUGAGGGGCUUUCUGGGUUUUGGUUGAAGCAUCAACAAUGUCAACAUUGAAGCACCACCAAUCCAUGAAAGUGUCAUAGAGGUGCUCUUAGAUAUUCUGCAACUUGAACUAGGGCUACUAAUACAAGGAGGUUGGGUGGAAGUCCUGCUAUAUGAGGAUCUUUACAAAAAGAUGACAAAAAGAGCAAACAAAACCACUAGUCUUCUUUUUAUAUCUUAAAAACUCUUGCACUUGGAAAUUGGAAUCAAGGUCAGAUUUAUAGUUUUUGAAAUCUUUGUGGGCUGUGGUCCAGUCCAUGAUGUACGAGCUGAUGACAUCCCAUGCAAGGGGCAGAAUUUCUCUUCAAUAAUCCUUCUUUUUGAUUAAUCCAUGAAGACCCUUACAUUUAUCAACUCAUAUAAAAUGCUGCACUGUAGAUGACUGUUAUGUGUUUGCUUGCAUACAAUGAUGAGGUACUUGAUUUUAUUUGUCAGAGGUGCUUUCUUCACAGGCA